rnacentral:rRNA from 1 species
AGUCGAGCGGACAGAAGGGAGCUUGCUCCCGGAUGUUAGCGGCGGACGGGUGAGUAACACGUGGGUAACCUGCCUGUAAGACUGGGAUAACUCCGGGAAACCGGAGCUAAUACCGGAUAGUUCCUUGAACCGCAUGGUUCAAGGAUGAAAGACGGUUUCGGCUGUCACUUACAGAUGGACCCGCGGCGCAUUAGCUAGUUGGUGAGGUAACGGCUCACCAAGGCGACGAUGCGUAGCCGACCUGAGAGGGUGAUCGGCCACACUGGGACUGAGACACGGCCCAGACUCCUACGGGAGGCAGCAGUAGGGAAUCUUCCGCAAUGGACGAAAGUCUGACGGAGCAACGCCGCGUGAGUGAUGAAGGUUUUCGGAUCGUAAAGCUCUGUUGUUAGGGAAGAACAAGUGCAAGAGUAACUGCUUGCACCUUGACGGUACCUAACCAGAAAGCCACGGCUAACUACGUGCCAGCAGCCGCGGUAAUACGUAGGUGGCAAGCGUUGUCCGGAAUUAU